AGAAGCUUAAUGAAAGCAGAGAAGUGUUAAAAACCAAUGAGAAUGUUAUAAGUUGGCUUAACAAGCAGCUAAAUGAAAAGCAGCUGUCCAGAAGGUCACAGUCUCCUGAAUCUUUGGUGAAUCCUUCAGUUUUAUCCACAACAACAGGCCUGAGGGCACAGUUUUAUCCUCAGAUAGGCAAUCCUGCUGUAUCACCUGUGGCAGCUGCUGACAUCACUCCUGCUGCUGAACAUCGAGCAGGACAUCCAACUAAAAGACAAAUUGGACACUCUGCAGGUCUGGACUCCAAGUACUUUGAGAGAAGAGAUGAUAGCAACCCAGUCUACGGUCUGUCGACUAAUCUGCUUCACAAAGAGUUCCCUCAGCAUGCAAAGCCUGCCACAGCUUCGGCUUAUUUUUCAGCAUAAAACAGAAGCUGCUGGAUUUGAUGAACAGCUACAAAGUAGUCUGUUUCAGCUAAAGGAAGAAAUAAAACCACCUGCAUUAUGUCUUCAGCUCCUCCACAAAAUUGUUACUGUUGUGCUGCGUUUUUUUUUUUUUUUUUGGGGGGGGGGGUUGUCGUAGCUAAUGUUGCCUUUGAAUCACUGUAGUAAUGGUGUAUAUAGAUAAUUUCUAAGUUGUGAUUCAUGAAUCCAAAAUUAUACUUUUUCCUUAUACAAUACAUUAUGUUUGCCAUCCUUAAGUAUUUAUAUUGUGUUUUUGUUUUAUGCAGAAUUUUAUUUAAAUGCAAGCCUUAAUAAACAAUGUCUCCAUCCUCA